CAGGCUGCUCAGACCUUUGCUGUGGCGGGAGGGCUUCACUGCCAUCUGGGCUGCAGCAGGGGAGUUGUGACCAAAACACCACAGUACAUGCACGAGACAAACAGUGGAUAACUGACAAGCAACUUCAUGAGGUUUAAAGAUGCUACAAAAAAAGAGACAAAGCGUGCAGCCUCAGUAAAGAAUAAAACCACUUUAUACUGAGCCAGGAUGACUUACAGCUCCACUACUAGACACAUUACCACCUCCCUCCCUUCACUGGAGACAUAUGACCCGGUCUGCACUGCCGCUUGGUGGCUGCCAUUAUUUAUGUGUGUCUUAUUCUCUUCUCCUCCCCCACAUCAUUUUCCCUGAUUUAAUGUCAUCGCCUUCACACCCUGUUUCAUUAUCGAUCACAAUGACGGGGGAUUGGAGCUGAUGUCUUUUUUUGCAGUGUUUUCUAAUAUAUCAGCAGUUCUGUGGGCUGAAACACAUACAUUUACAGAGAUCAUUGUCUAUUGUAUUAAAUGGCAGGCAUUUGAAAUGAUCAAGCAAGAGAAGUGUGUGAGUUUAAGACAUAACAGUCAUAAAAGACAGCAGGAAAUUGGGUUAAAAUAAGGAACCCUUUGCUGUUAAUGGUAUAGGGUAAAAAUU